ACGAACGCUGGCGGCGUGCUUAACACCUACAAGUCGAACGGAAAGGCCCUGCUUUUGUGGGGUGCUCGAGUGGCGAACGGGUGAGUAACACGUGAGUAACCUGCCCUUGACUUUGGGAUAACUUCAGGAAACUGGGGCUAAUACCGGAUAGGAGCUCCUGCUGCAUGGUGGGGGUUGGAAAGUUUCGGCGGUUGGGGAUGGACUCGCGGCUUAUCAGCUUGUUGGUGGGGUAGUGGCUUACCAAGGCUUUGACGGGUAGCCGGCCUGAGAGGGUGACCGGCCACAUUGGGACUGAGAUACGGCCCAGACUCCUACGGGAGGCAGCAGUGGGGAAUAUUGCACAAUGGGCGGAAGCCUGAUGCAGCAACGCCGCGUGCGGGAUGACGGCCUUCGGGUUGUAAACCGCUUUCGCCUGUGACGAAGCGUGAGUGACGGUAAUGGGUAAAGAAGCACCGGCUAACUACGUG
rnacentral:rRNA from 1 species